UCUGUGCUCCUGGGACUGAAUGUAGGCUUCCUGUAUGAGACACUGAUUAUUGAGCUAAGGACUGGCUGUAGCCUAGACAGUCUUCCAGCCUGGACGGAGGCCUCCUGAGCAACUCAGAGUGAAUGUGUUUUCAGAGUUAAGUACCAGGGACCCUGCGCAUGGUGGCUGCAUCCUGUCAUCAUGAACCAGGUUGUUCACAGGGCUCAUUCGAGAUAGAUGCUACAGAGUGUGUGUCCCCCAACUGCCAUGGUGGGGCGCUGUGCUGAGUGGCUUGUGAGGGUCACCUCAUAAAGUGUCGACUGUUCUGUACACGGAAGUUAUUCCUAGGUCAUCGGGAGGUCUCUACUUUGAAAGUGGGGAAACUGAGUCUCAAGCUCGGGGACAUCAAUAGUCAGGAAGCUCAGAUCCACAGAGAGAAGCUGGCUUCUGCCCGAGUUCCAUACUCCUCUAGGCUUCUCCAUCGGCCACAUGGUAAGUUGGAUCGAGGGUAGACAAGCUGGAGCUGUGCAUGUCCCCAGCUGUGCCUAAGGGACCCUACUUCCCCUGAGAACAAAGCUAUCACCAAGCCUGUCUCUGCUGCAGUUCAUGUCCCAGCUGUGGCUCAGGGUCCCCCAAUUCCCCUGCUACAGUGCAUGUCCCAGCUGUGCCUCAGGGACCCCAUGUUCCCUGCUGCAGUGCAUGUCCCUAGAUGUGCCUCAGGGUCCCCAUGUCCCCUGCUGCAGUGUGUGUCCCCAGCUGUGUCUCAGGGUUCCCCCAAUUCUCCUGCUGUAGUACAUGUUCCCAGCUGUGUCUCAUGGACCCCAGUUCCUCUGAGAACAGCAUUAUCACCAAGCCUGUCUCAGAUGGGGUUGAGGUUUCCUCUGCACACAAUAAAGGCCCUGGGACAAAUGCUUUCCAGCGCCGAUGGCUGGUGCAGUAGUGAGGAAGCUUAAAGGGCAGGGCUCUAGAGAGCUUAGAAUAGUUUGUUUUUUUUUUUCAUUGCUGUGAAGAAAUAUCCUACAAGAGCCAUCAGAAGGAGAAGGGUUUUAUUCUGUCCCCGAUUGAGGACAUCAUGCCCAUCAGGAAAGACAAGGCAUGAGAAAGCAGACCACACAUGGCAUCCACAGUCACAAAUGCUGGUACUCAGUUCAAUUUCUUCUUUGUAUCCAGGCCUGGAUCCUAGCCCAGGGAUGGUGGUUUUCACAUUUAGAGUGUAUCUCCCAUCUCAGUUAACCUAACCUUAGAAAUUCCGUCACAGACAGGCCCAGAGGUCUGACUCCUAGGUGAUGCUGGAGACUGUCCAUUCAACAACAUUACCAUUUUGGGGGCUGGAGAGAUGGCUCAGUGGUUAAGAGCACUGACUACUCUUCCGAAGGUCCUGAGUUCAAAUCCCGACAACAACAUGAUGGCUCACAACCAUCCGUAAUGAGAUCUGAUGCCCUCUUCUGGGGUGUCUGUAGACAGCUACAGUGUACUUACAUAUAAUAAACAAACAAACAAACAAAUGUAUCUUUUAAAACAAACAAAAACACCAUUACCAUUUUAACCAACAGAGAGGGUUCUGUGACUUCCAGAGCUCUGUGACCUUGAACACACUCCCCAGCCCCUUGGCCCCACAUCUUCUAUCUCUGGAAUGGGAAUGAUGUCAGUCUAUAGGAGUAUCUGAAGUCACUGUUGGGGCAGAGCUACAGAGAAGGAUCUGGUGUGGGUGGCUUCUUUUCAAGGUGAAUUCAGGAUGCUGGAAUCCAGGGCAGUGAGCGGCAGGAAAUAAAGACCUGGUCCCUAUGUUCAGGAACAGAUGACUAUGGCAGACACGGGGAGCUUGGUCCUGCUGGGAACCCCAGGGAGCAGAUCAGGGUCCACACUGGGCUGCUCUCAGCCAGGUGCAUGGCACCAGAUGGUCAUUCCCUCUUCUCCAGUCUCCUUCUGAAAUGAUGCCUCACAGAUUGGGUGUGUCUGACCCUGAGAACCAAAGGGAGUCCUGGACAACGAGAGUAGACAGAGGUGGAUCUCAGAAGUCAAGUAGGCACAGAUACAACCCUAGUCACAGCUACACACAUCUCUUGAAAAUCCCCCUCAAGUUGAAAAAUACCCUACUACUAAAACACGAACAGUGACCAUAGCUAUAUCUUGGCAUCUUCAGGAAUAAAUGAAUGGCAACCCAGGAUGAAAACCUAGGGGCUUGAUCUCACUCAGAGGCUUCAAGGCUAGUGCUAUCUUGUGAUGUCCAACUGCUCAGAGAAGUACCCCAUCCCCCAUAUCUCCCUGUGCUCCAAGGAGGGAAAGCUUUCUGCAUUCUAAGGGAAGCUUGAAACCCUGCAGAGACAGUGCGCACAAAGCAUCCCCAGAGCUUCUGCGACAGACAAGCCCUGGGUUCUCUGAUUUAAUAUCAUUCUACACUGCGGAGAAAUGUGGGGCGAGAGGCCAGUGGUGGGGGGGCAUCCAGGCUAAAUGGCUGAGUCAAUAGUGUAUCUAUCACCCAUGAGGAAGAAACAGAAAUGCCAUAGAGGGAAUGGCCUUUGAGGGAACCUCCCAGUGUCUGGGGUUUUAUCUGACUUGUCUCUUAUGUCCCUAACUUAGCCAUUAAAGGGUGCCUGUAAUUCUAUUUUUAAGACGAGGAAAGCAAAGACUCAAGAGAAAAACAACAACUUGCCCAGGGCCACAUAACAAGGAACCGGCAAAGUCAGAAUGAAGGACAGAGUCCAUGCUAGCACUAAGAGAGAGGCUACCAGCUCUCUACAGCAUGCCACUAGGCCUCAAUACUCAUGGGGUAUGGGGGCCUCGCUGAGGUCACUUCAUGGCCUAGUGUCCUUUUCCCCUGGCCUCAGGAGCCAUGUGGCUUCAGUGGAGUACCUGGACUUGGUGCCUUCAUCUGUAAGGCAAAGGCACAUGGAGACCUUGUUUACUGGCACCCGUUGAAAGAGGGUGAGGUUGGGUUAGGGCUAGGGCUAGGGCUAGGGCUAGGGCUAGGGCUAGGGCUAGGGCUAGGGCUAGGGCUAGGGCUAGGGCUAGGGCUAGGGCUAGGGCUAGGGCUAGGGGUAGGGAUAGGGAUAGGGAUAGGGAUAGGGAUAGGGAUAGGGAUAGGGAUAGGGAUAGGGAUAGGGAUAGGGUUAGGGUUAGGGUUAGGGGGUCACAUUGGGACUGAUCUGCAGGAGGCAAAAAGGACAAGGCUUCCAGAGCCAUCCCGUAAGUCAGACAGGAGCAGCCAGGUGAGCUGUCUACAGCGCCCCAUGUCUUCCUCCCCAGCCGUCUCAGGACUUAGUAGGGUCUGCCAAACGCAAGCACCCGGGUUCAAUCCUCAGCACAGCAAAACCAUGAUAAUUAUAAAGCCCACCCUCUUAGUGAUAUCCUUCCUCUACAGCUGCUUAGUGGAAAUCCCCAGGGUCCCCUGGUGUGGGAGGAGAAGUGUCGUGUCCUUCCUGGGGCUCCUAUGUGUGGCGUGCAGUGAGCCAGCCAUAGCUGGUACAGUCCUUUGGAGUUAGCCAAUCAUAGCUGGUACAUGUAGCCUGGUAGCCUAGAAAGUUAAGUAGGCAGAGGCAGGAGAGACAGGGCUCUGUCUUCCAGAGCCCAUGGGCCCUCUACCUCAAGGCUCCUUUUGACCCAUGUAGAAUGGAGCUGAAGGCAUACAGUGGAUUUAUCUCUCCCACACACCCACCUUGAUCCUCACCUUAAACACACUAUGGCUGUGUCUGUGACAGCCUAUCUCUAGAACACUCCAUGGGGUAGUCACUUGUCCCCAUACAGGGAUUUGAACCCAUGGCCUCAGCAUUAGCAACACUACCUGAAGCUCAGUCCAUUUUUUUGUUUUUGUUUUUUUUCCUUUUGCUUUUGGACAGAGGUUGACUGAGUUGCCCAGGCUGGAUUUGAACUCACUCUGUAGCUUGAGGAGGGUUGAUUGAGCUCAAUCCUCCUGCCUCAGCUUCUUGAGUAACUGAGAGUUUGGGGCUAUAGCAUCAAUUCAGUGAGAAGAGAGAGAGAGGAAGGGGAGAGAUGGGGGCAGCAAGGAUGAAGAAAGAAAGGGGGGCAGGGAGCAGCUUCCUCUGGCUGCUGGAAUGAGUUACCUCAUAGCCAGGUUUCUGGGUCAGGGAUGGGGGUACGUGAAGCUCUCAUGCAAGACUUUUGGCAGCCGAGCCAAUUGGGUUCCUAAAGAUUAUUAUUUUAGCAAACCCAUCUUGGAUGUGUCCAGAGUCGGCAGGAGGCUCUGCAGUGCUCUCCAAGAAAGUGCACGGCUGCUUGGGUUCUUAUUUCAGUCGGGCCCAGGGAGGGGUUCUGUUUUGCUCAGCUUGUGUUUCUGGAAAAGCUGGCCCUUGGGAGGAGCCUGGGUGUGGAUGGAGAGCUUGGUGGGUCUGGGGAGGAUGGGAUGGGGGUGGCUGCCAGACCUGGGUCUCCAUUCUGUGUCUGUUCUUGAAUCGGGGACCCCAGAAGGAAGUCAGGCUGAAGAUCAUGUGCUGGGGUCCUUAUGCCUCAUUCCUGAGCAAUAUUAUCUCUGGGUCUCCAGAGCCUGAGGGCGACAGGAACUGGGGUUGAUGGCUCUCUGUGAUUGGCUAUCACCUGGAUGUUGCUGGCCCACUUAUUGCCUCAGUUUCCCUCACUCGAAUAAAGAGGCUUGAAAGCUUAUGCAUGCCCUGUCCCUUGCCCUUCCUUCCAACGUUGCUCCUGGCCACUCUCUCCUUCCCAGGCCCCCAAAGAAGCACACCCACCUGCAGCCCCAGGCCCCUCCUUCGUGUCUGAGAGCCUUCAGGACUUCAGCUCUCUCUGUCUCAUCGUCUGGGUAUCCUAAAUAGUACGUUCCCUGACCUCCUGCAUGAGUCAGAGGCCCCACAGUGAAUUCUUGUCUCUGUUCCCCAUUCCUCUAGCAGGACUGCACUAGGAGGUCUGUGUCCCUCGUUGACCCCGAAGCCACCUCCUUGUUCCUUGUGGUACCCAACAGGGCACAAGGAUAGCUUCCCCAGGGAAGGUUACAGAUGUGUGUCUCUCAGCCAAGGACAGAGCCCAGGACAACAGACAGACAAACAGAUGGAUGGACGGGAGGCUCCUGCUCCUUGUUACAGUCAAGUGCAUCAUCUCUGUCUGAGCCUGCCACCUUCAGUAUUUGGUAGCCACCCUUCAGAUGAUGGAAAUUCCAUUCUGACCUCUUUCCAGGCACGUUCAGAAUCUCUGGGGUUGAGACUUCUCCAAAAACUUCUGCAGGAUCCUGGUGGGAAGCUCUCUCCUCUCUCUGCGUCAGCUUCCUGGGGGACCCACCGUUCCUUCCAGCCCAGAGCGGCAUCACUGUCUACACAUCACAAGCCUGGGUUGGUGUCGAGUGUCUCUGACUUUGGAGUCUCGAGCCCCGGACUUAGUUUUAUGGGCUUUGGCUGUCGAGGGCAGCCGACGACUCCAUCCAUCAACCGGGGACUGCUCUAACACUAAUGGUGAAUUUAUAGAAGUGGUUAAACAAAGUGUUGACAAUGCGGACGGUGUGUUUCUGAUUAACACACGAUUCCGAGGGAAGCUGCCAUCCGAGGGGGGAGUCAGUAAAACACAGCAGUGAAUUCCCAGGCCCCGGAGACUCCGACUAGACUGGAUCACCAGAGGUUGCGCAAGGAGAUCAUGAGUCUGAGGCUGCUGUGGGGACUCUUGUACAAACCCAGAGCCACCCCUCCCUUCCCCCCCUUUUUUUUUCUUGAGAGAUUACAUCUGAGUUCUCUCUUCCA